GAGUGGCGAACUGGUGAGUAACACGUGGGAAACCUGCCCAGAAGCGGGGGAUAACACCUGGAAACAGAUGCUAAUACCGCAUAACAACUUGGACCGCAUGGUCCGAGUUUGAAAGAUGGCUUCGGCUAUCACUUUUGGAUGGUCCCGCGGCGUAUUAGCUAGAUGGUGAGGUAACGGCUCACCAUGGCAAUGAUACGUAGCCGACCUGAGAGGGUAAUCGGCCACAUUGGGACUGAGACACGGCCCAAACUCCUACGGGAGGCAGCAGUAGGGAAUCUUCCACAAUGGACGAAAGUCUGAUGGAGCAACGCCGCGUGAGUGAAGAAGGGUUUCGGCUCGUAAAACUCUGUUGUUAAAGAAGAACAUAUCUGAGAGUAACUGUUCAGGUAUUGACGGUAUUUAACCAGAAAGCCACGGCUAACUACGUGCCAGCAGCCGCGGUAAUACGUAGGUGGCAAGCGUUGUCCGGAUUUAUUGGGCGUAAAGCGAGCGCAGGCGGUUUUUUAAGUCUGAUGUGAAAGCCUUCGGCUCAACC
rnacentral:rRNA from 1 species